AUGAGGCAGUACUGGUGGGGAGUGGAGAAUGGAAAGAAAAAGAUGGCUUGGCUAAGUUGGGAGAAAAUGAAACUACCCAAAGCAAUGGGAGGCAUGGGUUUCAGGGAUAUGCGUGCUUUUAAUCAGGCGUUGUUAGCAAAACAGGCCUGGCGGUUGUUGGACAGCCCUGAUAGUCUAUGUGCUCAUUUAUUGCGCGCAAAAUAUUUCCCUAAUGGGAAUUUGUUGGAUACAGUAUUUCCUAGCAGCUCUUCGGUGGUAUGGAAAGGUAUUGUUCAUGGACUUGAAUUGUUGAAGAAGGGCAUUAUCUGGCGGGUUGGUGAUGGUACACUAAUUAGAACUUGGCGGGACCCUUGGAUUCCGCGGGGUUAUGAUCUAAGACCAGUCACGCCAAAAAGGAAUUGU
rnacentral:rRNA from 1 species